rnacentral:rRNA from 1 species
AGCAGCCGCGGUAAUUCCAGCUCCAAUAGCGUAUAUUAAAGUUGUUGCAGUUAAAAAGCUUGUAGUUGAAUUUCGGGGUUAGUAAGUUGGUCAUGCCUCCGGUAUGUACUGGCUUUACUGAUUCCUCCUUCUUGAUGAACUGUAAUGUCAUUAAUUUGGUGUUGCAGGGAAUCAGGGCUGUUACUUUGAAAAAAUUAGAGUGUUUAAAGCAGGCAUACGCUUGAAUACAUUAGCAUGGAAUAAUGAAAUAGGACGUUUGAUCCUAUUUUGUUGGUUUCUAGGAUUGACGUAAUGAUUAAUAGGGAUAGUUGGGGGCAUUAGUAUUCAAUUGUCAGAGGUGAAAUUCUUGGAUUUAUUGAAGACUAACUACUGCGAAAGCAUUUGCCAAGGAUGUUUUCAUUAAUCAAGAACGAAAGUUAGGGGAUCGAAGACGAUCAGAUACCGUCGUAGUCUUAACCAUAAACUAUGCCGACUAGGGAUCGGAUGAUGUUAUUUUUAAUGACUCAUUCGGCGCCUUAAC